ensembl:lncRNA
CUGGAAGGCGCCUCUCUAGAAGGCGCCUCUCUAGAAGCCACAGCCCUACGACGCGCCCUCCCACUGGCUGAGCUGGCUGUCCAUCACGAAGGGGCGGGACUAGGAGGGGCGGGUCGCGCGCGGGAACCGCGGAGCGUGCGGGCGCGUUCUCCGCCCCAAACCGGCGAGCCGGGCGGAGCCUCUGGAGGAAACGGCGGGGAAGAGGCGGCCGGUCGGCACCCGACCGAAGCAAGAGGCGGAGAAGAGCGGCGCCUGGCAGGCGAUCUUCGGGGCGGCCUCGCGAGACAGGCAGGCGCGACACAGGUGCACAUCUGUAAUCCCAGCCGUUGGGAGGGUGAGGCAGGAGGGUCUCGGGAGUUCAAGGGCAGUCUGCACUACAUAGUGAGACCCCCGUCUGAAAGGGAAAAAAUGGGAAAUCCAGCCUGGGUUACAUGACCCUGGCUCCCCAGGUCAGAGACGACGCCCCAAGAGAGGUCUCCUUCCUCACACCCCGAAAUGGCAUCUGUGGACUUCAAGACCUACGUGGACCAGGCCUGCAGAGCAGCUGAGGAGUUUGUCAACGUCUACUACACCACCAUGGAUAAGCGCCGGCGCCUGCUGUCCCGCCUCUACAUGGGCACGGCCACCUUGGUGUGGAAUGGAAACGCUGUUUCUCGGACAGGAGUCUUUGAGUGAGUUCUUUGAAAUGCUGCCCUCCAGUGAGUUCCAGAUCAAUGUGGUUGACUGCCAGCCCGUCCAUGAUGAGGCCACCCUCGAGCCAGACCACGGUCCUUGUUGUCAUCUGUGGGUCAGUGAAGUUUGAGGGGCAACAAACAGCGGGACUUCAACCAGAAUUUCAUCCUCACUGCCCAGGCCUCUCCCAACAACACGGUGUGGAAAAUCGCAAGUGACUGUUUCCGGUUCCAAGACUGGGCUAGCUAGUGGGGUGAGAAAGGCCUGUGCUGCAGGCCCAGCUCUGUGGAGAGCCCUGUCUCAGCUCUAGGGACGUGGGGACACUGUUUUCUGUUGUUGCCACGAUGCCAUAGAUCACACUGUGCUGAGGCCGAACUCCUACGUUUGUUUUCAUCCCAGGGCACCCCUUUCCUGAGUAUACUCUUGUUUAUUAUAGUUGCCUUUUAAAAGUAGUAAAAGUUUUCUAUUUUUCUAUUUGCCUAGUAGAGAUCUGAUUCUGGAAAUUUGGAAAAUAAAAAGUCAAUUAACAAGUUGCUUCUCUCCCUGUGCUUGAAGUGCUCUACUAGAUCUUGAGCCGGAGGAGGGUUAAAGGGCGGAGGCACCUGCAGGGGCAUGGGUCCUUACCCCCCAGCACUGUGUGCACUCCGGUAACCUGGAGCUGGGAUCACAGCCCGCUGCACACUAGAACCCUGUGCAGCACCCCAGCCUGGUACACCAGAGUCCUAGGGCAGGGUUGGCUGUCUUGAUCCAUGGAUCACUUUCCUUUACCUGGGAAUCAUUGAGCAGGUGGCUGGGCACCCCCCUUUGCAUCUGAACUCAGAGUUGAAUGAUGAGAGCAGAUGAACUACAGAGUUAGCUAGUAAUUGCUUUUACAAGAGCAGCUGCCUUAAACUGAGAAAGAGACUGCUGCUUCAGGGAGCUCCCAGGCCAACCCUGAUUGCAUAAAAUCCUGGAGAAGUGCCUGUCACACCUUGACCAGUGAGUGACAUCUCAUGUGGUAAGAGUCUGCUGGGCUUGGGACAGGGUUGCAGACACUGGAAUGGGAACGUACUGGAGGGAAGGAACUCCUGGUGAGUAGUGGCACAGACAGCAGGAUCUUCCUUAGCACCUCCUCCCUUCUCAGCACCAAGUCCUGAAGCCCAGUGCUUAGAGGGACAAGGGAUCUCUUGCAAGGUGACUUCAGUUCAGCCUGCAGCUAGUUUGCCGUGUUAGUGAAUUCUGGCAGCUCCAUCUCAGGACACCCCUAGAGGUGGAGUCAUCUUGUGCUAGGAGCCUGGGUCCCUGGUGACUGGGAGCCACCAACACAGCC